rnacentral:rRNA from 1 species
GCACCACAAGGGGUGAAGCUUGCGGUUUAAUUGGAGUCAACUCCGGGAACCUUACCAAGGGCGACAGCUGGAUGAAGGUCAGAUUAAAGGUCUUACCGGACUAGCUGAGAGGAGGUGCAUGGCCGUCGCCAGUUCGUGCCGUGAGGUGUUCUCUUAAGUGAGACAACGAGCGAGACCCGCACCUCUAGUUGCCACCGGACUCCUUCGGGAAUCCGGGCACACUAGCGGGACUGCCCUCGCUAAGAGGGAGGAAGGAGCGGGCCACGGCAGGUCAGUAUGCCCCAAAUCCCUUGGGCCACACGCGAGCUGCAAUGGAUGGGACAAUGGGUUCCGACCCCGAGAGGGGAAGGCAAUCUUCAAACCCAUCCUCAGUUGGGAUCGAGGGCUGCAACCCGCCCUCGUGAACAUGGAAUCCCUAGUAACCGCGUGUCAUCAUCGCGCGGUGAAUACGUUCCUUGCUCCUUGCACACACCGCCCGUCGCUUCAUCCGAGUCUGGCUCUUGGUGAGGCGUGGCCUCAUUGGUCAUGUCGAGCCUAGGUUAGACAAAGAGGGAG